rnacentral:rRNA from 1 species
CUACGUGCCAGCAGCCGCGGUAAUACGGAAGGUCCAGGCGUUAUCCGGAUUUAUUGGGUUUAAAGGGAGCGUAGGCGGACUGUUAAGUCAGCGGUUAAAGAGUGUGGCUCAACCAUACGAUGCCGUUGAAACUGGUGGUCUUGAGUGCACACAGGGAUGCUGGAACUCGUGGUGUAGCGGUGAAAUGCUUAGAUAUCACGAUGAACUCCGAUCGCGAAGGCAGGUGUCCGGGGUGUAACUGACGCUGAGGCUCGAAAGUGUGGGUAUCAAACAGGAUUAGAUACCCUGGUAGUCCACACAGUAAACGAUGAAUACUCGCAGUUUGCGAUACAAUGUAAGCUGCCAAGCGAAAGCAUUAAGUAUUCCACCUGGGGAGUACGCCGGCAACGGUGAAACUCAAAGGAAUUGACGGGGGCCCGCACAAGCGGAGGAACAUGUGGUUUAAUUCGAUGAUACGCGAGGAACCUUACCCGGGCUUGAAC